CACGCCAGACUGGAAUUUGGAUUACAGGAAUAUCUUAGAAUCAAGUGAGAAGGCUUAGGGUGUGUAGAGAAGAUUAGUUACAGGUUUAGAAGUAUCAAUUAAUGGAAUUUCUUUAAUUUUUUUCCUGUAAAGAAUGCAAAUGUCUGUCUCGGAUCAUGAUUCUUUUCAAGUUUAAAAUUCAAUAUCAUCUAAAUUUCUUUCAGACUA